rnacentral:tRNA from 1 species
GGGAAGGUGGCUCAGUGGUAGAGUGCUUGCCUUGCAUGCCUGAGGCCCUGGGUUCG